CCCUUAGAUGUUCUGGGCUGCACGCGUGCUACAAUGGCGUUUCCAGCAAGUCUGCGAGCCCGAGAGGGCCAGCGGAUCUUCGAAUUGGCGUCGUGAUCGGGACAGUCGAUUGCAAUUAUUUGACUCAAACGAGGAAUUCCUUGUAAUCGCGAUUCAUCAUAUCGCGCUGAAUACGUCCCUGCCCUUUGUACACACCGCCCGUCGCUCCUACCGAUUGAGCGAUCCGGUAAAUGUUUUGGAUUGGUGCCGGGGCGGCUAGCUGCCGGUCGCUACGAAAUUUUGUGAACCUUAUCGCUUAGAGGAAGGAAAAGUCGUAACA
rnacentral:rRNA from 1 species